CAGCAGCAGCCGCGGGAAUACAGAGGGUGCGAGCGUUAAUCGGAUUUACUGGGCGUAAAGCGUGUGUAGGUUGUUGUUCAAGUCAGUUGUGAAAUCCCUGGGCUCAACCUGGGAACUGCUUCUGAGACUGAACGACUAGAGUACGGUAGAGGGUGGUGGAAUUUCCGGUGUAGCGGUGAAAUGCGUAGAUAUCGGAAGGAACAUCAAUGGCGAAGGCAGCCACCUGGGCCUGUACUGACACUGAGACACGAAAGCGUGGGGAUCAAACAGGAUUAGAUACCCCAGUAGUCCCUGUCUCUUAUAC
rnacentral:rRNA from 1 species